rnacentral:rRNA from 1 species
UACGGGGGGGGCAAGCGUUGUUCGGAAUUACUGGGCGUAAAGGGCUGGUAGGCGGCCAACUAAGUCGGAUGUGAAAUCCCCAGGCUUAACCUGGGAACUGCAUCCGAUACUGGUCGGCUUGAAUCCGGGAGAGGGAUGCAGAAUUCCAGGUGUAGCGGUGAAAUGCGUAGAUAUCUGGAGGAAUACCGGUGGCGAAGGCGGCAUCCUGGACCGGCAUUGACGCUGAACAGCGAAAGCUAGGGGAGCAAACGGGAGUU